rnacentral:rRNA from 1 species
ACCUGGUUGAUCCUGCCAGUGGGCGUACGCUCUUUUCAAAGAUUAAGCCAUGCAUAUGCUAGUUCAUACAUUAAAAAUGUGAGACUGUGGAAGGCUCAGUAUAUCAGUUAUAAUCUGCCCGAUUGUAAAGGUUAUUGGAUAACCGUGGGAAAUCUAGAGCUAAUACAUGUACUAUCGUGGUUCUCCACGACUUUUGCAUUUAUUAAAAUACUACCAACCGUAACAAGGUGCACGUUGCCUUGAUACGUGAUGAAUCUAGAUAACUUUGCAGAUCGUAUGGCCUUGAGCCGACGACAUUUCGAUUGAAUUUCUGCCCUAUCAACUUUUGUCGGCAGUUUAGUGGACUGCCGAGGUUAUCACGGGUAACGGGGGAUCAGGGUUCGAUUCCGGAGAGGGAGCCUGAGAAACGGCUACCACAUCUACGGAUGGCAGCAGGCGCGCAAAUUACCCAAUCCAGACAAUGGGAGGUGGUGAAGAAAAGUACCGAAUGACGGCAAAUGCCGGCAAUUUGGAAUGGAAACAACUUAAAAAAUUGGUUUGAGUAACAACUGGAGGGCAAGUCUGGUGCCAGCAGCCGCGGUAAUUCCAGCUCCAGUAGCGUAUCUCAAAGUUGCUGCGCUUAAACGCUCGUAGUUGGAUCAUGUCGCACGCGGGAGUUGGUGCAAGAGGCUGUAAAGAUAUGUAUUGGAUGGCAUGUUCUCAUGCGAAUUCAAAUAUAUGUGAAGGCCAUUUGCAACUGUAAGCUGCCGUGUGGUAAUUGCAUGUGAGGAUGGUAAUUGACCUUUAGUGAGUUGAUAAUCGUGUCUCACAGAGUGUGCCUUGAGUAAAUCAGAGUGCUUAAAGCAAGUAUUUAUGCUUGAAUGUUGAUAGCAUGGAACGAACGAUCGUGUAUGGUAUGUAAUAAAUGGAUUAUGUAACUCGUUUACGUAAGUUCUAUUAUUGCAUGACACCGACCACCAAUUACGGAUGUUGGUUCCGUAUUGGGGUAAUGAUUAAGAGGAGCGGUUGGGGGCAUUGGUAUUUGGCAGCGAGAGGUGAAAUUCUUAGACCUACCAAGGACCAACAAAUGCGAAGGCAUCUGUCAAGACCGUAUCCAUUAAUCAAGAACGAAAGUGAGAGGUUCGAAGACGAUCAGAUACCGUCCUAGUUCUCACUGUAAGCUAUGCCGACCCGGGAUCAGUUUGGAGCAAUUUCCACGCUCGAGGUUGGUCCCCCUGGGAAACCUAAAGUUUUUCGGUUGCGGGGGGAGUAUGGUCGCAAGGCUGAAACUUAAAGGAAUUGACGGAAGGGCACCACCAGGGGUGGAGCCUGCGGCUUAAUUUGACUCAACACGGGAAAACUUACCUGGUCCGGACAUCAAAAGGAUAAACAGACUGAAAGAUCUUACUAUUUUGAUAUGAUGAUUGGUGGUGCAUGGCCGUUCUUAGUUCGUGGAGUGAUCUGUCAGGCUAAUUCCGGUAACGAACGAGAGCACAGUUUCCAUUUGACGAGCCAAAGAAGGCGCGUUUUCGCAUACCGGUUGUCGAAAGAUGACUUUUGCAACGACUCGUCGAUGGUAGCGAGAUUGAAGUGUUUGGAAAUGGGGUUGUCGUGGCAACACGAGAGCCACGUGGAAGAAUGCGAUCGGUUUUGCUCCCUUUGGCAUAACAAAGUGUCGGUUGAAAGACUGGUACGUUGUAUCAUGGAAAGACAACGGAAUAUAUUUCAAAAUCCGAGGAAGUGUGGCUAUAACAGGUCUGUGAUGCCCUUAGAUGUUCAGGGCUGCACGCGCGCUACAAUGGUGGUGACAACGAGUUUCUGGAUCGAAAGAUCUGGGUAAUCUUGCAAUCACCGCCGUGAUGGGGAUCGACGUUUGUAAUUACGUCGUGAAAGAGGAAUCCCUAGUACGUGCGAUUCAUGAAAUCGCGCGGAUUUCGUCCCUGCCCUUUGUACACACCGCCCGUCGCUACUACCGAGUGAAUGGUACCAUAAUGCCUUGGGAGCGGACUCCGUUACCGGGUUUACGCCCGGGAGGGAGCUGCGAUCAGCGUAGAAUGGUGCAAUUUCGAGGAAGUAAAAGUCGUAACAAGGUUUCCGUAGGUGAACCAGCGGAAG